AGUGUUGCACAGUGGCAGUAUUAUAGCCAAUGAGGUUUAUCUGAGGUGUGAUUAUUGCUAAUUAAUUAAUGAUCAUCUAUCUAUUUUACCUCUUGGUUUGUAGGAUUACAGUUCAGAGAAAAGCUGGGAUUCACUAUGUUGA